GGCUAUGGCUAUGCCACCCUGAACAUGCCCGAUCUUAUCUGAUCUAGGAAGCUAAACAGGGUAGGGCCUGGUUAGUACCUAGAUGGGAGACCACCUAGGAAGACCAGGUGCUGUAGGCG
rnacentral:rRNA from 1 species